rfam:Triticum aestivum genome assembly, contig: Triticum_aestivum_CS42_TGACv1_scaffold_593519_7BS
CUCGUACUCCUUUCGUCCGGAAUUACUUGUCAUCAAAAUGGAUGAAAAUAAAUGUAUCUAAAAUUAAAAUACAUCUAGAUACAUUCAUUCCAAUGACAAGUAUUUCCGGACGGACGGAGUAUAAA